rnacentral:lncRNA from 1 species
CUUUGCUGCAGUCUUCACAGCUCUGGCACUCAGGUUGCAGUGAGAUCCAGGGAGAGCCAGAAGUGAGGCGCCCAGAGAAGUGUUCACUUGUGGCUCGAAGUCCAGGUGUGAUACUGCAUGAAAACCCCCCGAUUUGGCCAUCCAGAGCAUGGUAAUCAAGAAACGCCUAGAUGUUUCCAAAAAUGGAUUGGGUGUCCCUCCAAGUGUUCAUGAAAAGGUUGAAUUUCCUCUUGGUGGGGAGUUACAGAGGAGAUUAGCAGAUCAGGCUGAAUUAGGGAUAGGAUCUCCUUAAGUUGCCCAAGCUGAUCUUGAAUGCCUGGGCUCAAGCAAUCCGCCUGCCUCGGAUUUUCAAAAUGCUGGGAUUACAGAUGUGAGCCACCAUGUCUAACCUGAAACACAGUUUUAAAUGAACACAAUUUGUUGUUGUUGUCUUCUCCACCAAAGAAAAUUAGUUCUUUAAAGACUCACCAAGUUAAAAAAU